UACAGAGGUCCCAAGCGUUGUUCGGAUUCACUGGGCGUAAAGGGUGCGUAGGUGGCCAGGUAAGUUCGAUGUGAAAUCUCCGGGCUUAACCCGGAAAGUGCAUUGAAUACUAUCUGGCUAGAGGGUUGGAGGGGAGACUGGAAUUCUCGGUGUAGCAGUGAAAUGCGUAGAUAUCGAGAGAAACACCAGUGGCGAAGGCGAGUCUCUGGACAACUCCUGACACUGAGGCACGAAAGCUAGGGGAGCAAACAGG
rnacentral:rRNA from 1 species